rnacentral:rRNA from 1 species
UAAUCGGAAUUACUGGGCGUAAAGCGUGCGCAGGCGGUUUGUUAAGCGAGAUGUGAAAGCCCCGGGCUCAACCUGGGAACCGCAUUUCGAACUGGCAAACUAGAGUCUUGUAGAGGGGGGUAGAAUUCCAGGUGUAGCGGUGAAAUGCGUAGAGAUCUGGAGGAAUACCGGUGGCGAAGGCGGCCCCCUGGACAAAGAAUGACGCUCAGGCACGAAAGCGUGGGGAGCAAACAGGAUUAGAUACCCUGGUAGUC